rnacentral:rRNA from 1 species
AGCUCUUUUGUCAGGGAAGAAACGGGUGGAGCUAAUAUCUCUGCCUAAUGACGGUACCUGAAGAAUAAGCACCGGCUAACUACGUGCCAGCAGCCGCGGUAAUACGUAGGGUGCAAGCGUUAAUCGGAAUUACUGGGCGUAAAGCGUGCGCAGGCGGUUUUGUAAGUCUGUCGUGAAAUCCCCGGGCUCAACCUGGGAAUUGCGAUGGAGACUGCAAGGCUAGAAUCUGGCAGAGGGGGGUAGAAUUCCACGUGUAGCAGUGAAAUGCGUAGAGAUGUGGAGGAACACCGAUGGCGAAGGCAGCCCCCUGGGUCAAGAUUGACGCUCAUGCACGAAAGCGUGGGGAGCAAACAGGAUUAGAUACCCUGGUAGUCCACGCCCUAAACGAUGUCUACUAGUUGUCGGGUUUUAAUUAACUUGGUAACGCAGCUAACGCGUGAAGUAGACCGCCUGGGGAGUACGGUCGCAAGAUUAAAACUCAAAGGAAUUGACGGGGACCCGCACAAGCGGUGGAUGAUGUGGAUUAAUUCGAUGCAACGCGAAAAACCUUACCUACCCUUGACAUGGCAGGAAUCCCGGAGAGAUUCGGGAGUGCUCGAAAGAGAACCUGCACACAGGUGCUGCAUGGCUGUCGUCAGCUC